GGUUAAGCGACUAAGCGUACACGGUGGAUGCCCUGGCAGUCAGAGGCGAUGAAGGACGUGCUAAUCUGCGAAAAGCGCCGGCGAGGUGAUAUGAACCUUUGACCCGGCGAUGUCCGAAUGGGGAAACCCAGUGUGUUCCGACACACUAUCGUUAACUGAAUACAUAGGUUAACGAGGCGAACCGGGGGAACUGAAACAUCUAAGUACCCCGAGGAAAAGAAAUCAACCGAGAUUCCCCCAGUAGCGGCGAGCGAACGGGGAGCAGCCCAGAGUCUGAAUCAGCUUGUGUGUUAGUGGAAGCGUCUGGAAAGUCGCACGGUACAGGGUGACAGUCCCGUACACGAAAGCACACAGGUUGUGAACUCGAAGAGUAGGGCGGGACACGUGGUAUCCUGUCUGAAUAUGGGGGGACCAUCCUCCAAGGCUAAAUACUCCUGACUGACCGAUAGUGAACCAGUACCGUGAGGGAAAGGCGAAAAGAACCCCGGCGAGGGGAGUGAAAAAGAACCUGAAACCGUGUACGUACAAGCAGUGGGAGCACCUUCGUGGUGUGACUGCGUACCUUUUGUAUAAUGGGUCAGCGACUUAUAUUCUGUAGCAAGGUUAACCGUAUAGGGGAGCCGAAGGGAAACCGAGUCUUAACUGGGCGUUAAGUUGCAGGGUAUAGACCCGAAACCCGGUGAUCUAGCCAUGGGCAGGUUGAAGGUUGGGUAACACUAACUGGAGGACCGAACCGACUAAUGUUGAAAAAUUAGCGGAUGACUUGUGGCUGGGGGUGAAAGGCCAAUCAAACCGGGAGAUAGCUGGUUCUCCCCGAAAGCUAUUUAGGUAGCGCCUCGUGAACUCAUCUUCGGGGGUAGAGCACUGUUUCGGCUAGGGGGCCAUCCCGGCUUACCAACCCGAUGCAAACUACGAAUACCGAAGAAUGUUAUCACGGGAGACACACGGCGGGUGCUAACGUCCGUCGUGAAGAGGGAAACAACCCAGACCGCCAGCUAAGGUCCCAAAGUCAUGGUUAAGUGGGAAACGAUGUGGGAAGGCACAGACAGCCAGGAUGUUGGCUUAGAAGCAGCCAUCAUUUAAAGAAAGCGUAAUAGCUCACUGGUCGAGUCGGCCUGCGCGGAAGAUGUAACGGGGCUAAACCAUGCACCGAAGCUGCGGCAGCGACGCUUAUGCGUUGUUGGGUAGGGGAGCGUUCUGUAAGCCGUUGAAGGUGGCCUGUGAGGGUUGCUGGAGGUAUCAGAAGUGCGAAUGCUGACAUAAGUAACGAUAAAGCGGGUGAAAAGCCCGCUCGCCGGAAGACCAAGGGUUCCUGUCCAACGUUAAUCGGGGCAGGGUGAGUCGACCCCUAAGGCGAGGCCGAAAGGCGUAGUCGAUGGGAAACAGGUUAAUAUUCCUGUACUUGGUGUUACUGCGAAGGGGGGACGGAGAAGGCUAUGUUAGCCGGGCGACGGUUGUCCCGGUUUAAGCAUGUAGGCGGAGGUUCCAGGUAAAUCCGGUACCUUUUAACGCUGAGGUGUGAUGACGAGGCACUACGGUGCUGAAGUAACAAAUGCCCUGCUUCCAGGAAAAGCCUCUAAGCAUCAGGUAACAUCAAAUCGUACCCCAAACCGACACAGGUGGUCAGGUAGAGAAUACCAAGGCGCUUGAGAGAACUCGGGUGAAGGAACUAGGCAAAAUGGUGCCGUAACUUCGGGAGAAGGCACGCUGAUAUGUAGGUGAAGCCCCUGCGGGUGGAGCUGAAAUCAGUCGAAGAUACCAGCUGGCUGCAACUGUUUAUUAAAAACACAGCACUGUGCAAACACGAAAGUGGACGUAUACGGUGUGACGCCUGCCCGGUGCCGGAAGGUUAAUUGAUGGGGUUAGCGGCAACGCGAAGCUCUUGAUCGAAGCCCCGGUAAACGGCGGCCGUAACUAUAACGGUCCUAAGGUAGCGAAAUUCCUUGUCGGGUAAGUUCCGACCUGCACGAAUGGCGUAAUGAUGGCCAGGCUGUCUCCACCCGAGACUCAGUGAAAUUGAACUCGCUGUGAAGAUGCAGUGUACCCGCGGCAAGACGGAAAGACCCCGUGAACCUUUACUAUAGCUUGACACUGAACACUGGUCCUUGAUGUGUAGGAUAGGUGGGAGGCUUUGAAGCGUGGACGCCAGUCUGCGUGGAGCCGUCCUUGAAAUACCACCCUUUAAUGGCUGGUGUUCUAACGUAGACCCGUAAUCCGGGUUGCGGACAGUGUCUGGUGGGUAGUUUGACUGGGGCGGUCUCCUCCCAAAGAGUAACGGAGGAGCACGAAGGUUAGCUAAUCCUGGUCGGACAUCAGGAGGUUAGUGCAAUGGCAUAAGCUAGCUUGACUGCGAGAGUGACGGCUCGAGCAGGUGCGAAAGCAGGUCAUAGUGAUCCGGUGGUUCUGAAUGGAAGGGCCAUCGCUCAACGGAUAAAAGGUACUCCGGGGAUAACAGGCUGAUACCGCCCAAGAGUUCAUAUCGACGGCGGUGUUUGGCACCUCGAUGUCGGCUCAUCACAUCCUGGGGCUGAAGUAGGUCCCAAGGGUAUGGCUGUUCGCCAUUUAAAGUGGUACGCGAGCUGGGUUUAGAACGUCGUGAGACAGUUCGGUCCCUAUCUGCCGUGGGCGCUGGAGAAUUGAGGGGGGCUGCUCCUAGUACGAGAGGACCGGAGUGGACGCAUCACUGGUGUUCGGGUUGUCAUGCCAAUGGCACUGCCCGGUAGCUAAAUGCGGAAAAGAUAAGUGCUGAAAGCAUCUAAGCACGAAACUUGCCCCGAGAUGAGUUCUCCCUGAGACUUUAAGUCUCCUGAAGGAACGUUGAAGACGACGACGUUGAUAGGUCGGGUGUGUAAGCGCAGCGAUGCGUUGAGCUAACCGAUACUAAUGAACCGUGAGGCUUAACCUU
rnacentral:rRNA from 1 species